CUACGGGUGGCUGCAGUGGGGAAUAUUGCACAAUGGGCGCAAGCCUGAUGCAGCCAUGCCGCGUGUGUGAAGAAGGCCUUCGGGUUGUAAAGCACUUUCAGCGGGGAGGAAGGCGUUAAGGUUAAUAACCUUGGCGAUUGACGUUACCCGCAGAAGAAGCACCGGCUAACUCCGUGCCAGCAGCCGCGGUAAUACGGAGGGUGCAAGCGUUAAUCGGAAUUACUGGGUGUAAAGCGCACGCAGGCGGUCUGUCAAGUCGGAUGUGAAAUCCCCGGGCUCAACCUGGGAACUGCAUUCGAAACUGGCAGGCUAGAGUCUUGUAGAGGGGGGUAGAAUUCCAGGUGUAGCGGUGAAAUGCGUAGAGAUCUGGAGGAAUACCGGUGGCGAAGGCGGCCCCCUGGACAAAGACUGACGCUCAGGUGCGAAAGCGUGGGGAGCAAACAGGAUUAGAUACCCUAGUAGUC
rnacentral:rRNA from 1 species